UUAAGCGACUAAGCGUACACGGUGGAUGCCCUGGCAGUCAGAGGCGAUGAAGGACGUGCUAAUCUGCGAUAAGCGUCGGUAAGGUGAUAUGAACCGUUAUAACCGGCGAUUUCCGAAUGGGGAAACCCAGUGUGUUUCGACACACUAUCAUUAACUGAAUCCAUAGGUUAAUGAGGCGAACCGGGGGAACUGAAACAUCUAAGUACCCCGAGGAAAAGAAAUCAACCGAGAUUCCCCCAGUAGCGGCGAGCGAACGGGGAGCAGCCCAGAGCCUGAAUCAGUGUGUGUGUUAGUGGAAGCGUCUGGAAAGGCGCGCGAUACAGGGUGACAGCCCCGUACACAAAAAUGCACAUGCUGUGAGCUCGAUGAGUAGGGCGGGACACGUGGUAUCCUGUCUGAAUAUGGGGGGACCAUCCUCCAAGGCUAAAUACUCCUGACUGACCGAUAGUGAACCAGUACCGUGAGGGAAAGGCGAAAAGAACCCCGGCGAGGGGAGUGAAAAAGAACCUGAAACCGUGUACGUACAAGCAGUGGGAGCACGCUUAGGCGUGUGACUGCGUACCUUUUGUAUAAUGGGUCAGCGACUUAUAUUCUGUAGCAAGGUUAACCGAAUAGGGGAGCCGAAGGGAAACCGAGUCUUAACUGGGCGUUAAGUUGCAGGGUAUAGACCCGAAACCCGGUGAUCUAGCCAUGGGCAGGUUGAAGGUUGGGUAACACUAACUGGAGGACCGAACCGACUAAUGUUGAAAAAUUAGCGGAUGACUUGUGGCUGGGGGUGAAAGGCCAAUCAAACCGGGAGAUAGCUGGUUCUCCCCGAAAGCUAUUUAGGUAGCGCCUCGUGAAUUCAUCUCCGGGGGUAGAGCACUGUUUCGGCAAGGGGGUCAUCCCGACUUACCAACCCGAUGCAAACUGCGAAUACCGGAGAAUGUUAUCACGGGAGACACACGGCGGGUGCUAACGUCCGUCGUGAAGAGGGAAACAACCCAGACCGCCAGCUAAGGUCCCAAAGUCAUGGUUAAGUGGGAAACGAUGUGGGAAGGCCCAGACAGCCAGGAUGUUGGCUUAGAAGCAGCCAUCAUUUAAAGAAAGCGUAAUAGCUCACUGGUCGAGUCGGCCUGCGCGGAAGAUGUAACGGGGCUAAACCAUGCACCGAAGCUGCGGCAGCGACACUAUGUGUUGUUGGGUAGGGGAGCGUUCUGUAAGCCUGUGAAGGUGUACUGUGAGGUAUGCUGGAGGUAUCAGAAGUGCGAAUGCUGACAUAAGUAACGAUAAAGCGGGUGAAAAGCCCGCUCGCCGGAAGACCAAGGGUUCCUGUCCAACGUUAAUCGGGGCAGGGUGAGUCGACCCCUAAGGCGAGGCCGAAAGGCGUAGUCGAUGGGAAACAGGUUAAUAUUCCUGUACUUGGUGUUACUGCGAAGGGGGGACGGAGAAGGCUAUGUUGGCCGGGCGACGGUUGUCCCGGUUUAAGCGUGUAGGCUGGUUUUCCAGGCAAAUCCGGAAAAUCAAGGCUGAGGCGUGAUGACGAGGCACUACGGUGCUGAAGCAACAAAUGCCCUGCUUCCAGGAAAAGCCUCUAAGCAUCAGGUAACAUCAAAUCGUACCCCAAACCGACACAGGUGGUCAGGUAGAGAAUACCAAGGCGCUUGAGAGAACUCGGGUGAAGGAACUAGGCAAAAUGGUGCCGUAACUUCGGGAGAAGGCACGCUGAUAUGUAGGUGAAGUCCCUCGCGGAUGGAGCUGAAAUCAGUCGAAGAUACCAGCUGGCUGCAACUGUUUAUUAAAAACACAGCACUGUGCAAACACGAAAGUGGACGUAUACGGUGUGACGCCUGCCCGGUGCCGGAAGGUUAAUUGAUGGGGUUAGCCGCAAGGCGAAGCUCUUGAUCGAAGCCCCGGUAAACGGCGGCCGUAACUAUAACGGUCCUAAGGUAGCGAAAUUCCUUGUCGGGUAAAUUCCGACCUGCACGAAUGGCGUAAUGAUGGCCAGGCUGUCUCCACCCGAGACUCAGUGAAAUUGAACUCGCUGUGAAGAUGCAGUGUACCCGCGGCAAGACGGAAAGACCCCGUGAACCUUUACUAUAGCUUGACACUGAACAUUGAGCCUUGAUGUGUAGGAUAGGUGGGAGGCUUUGAAGUGUGGACGCCAGUCUGCAUGGAGCCGACCUUGAAAUACCACCCUUUAAUGUUUGAUGUUCUAACGUUGACCCGUAAUCCGGGUUGCGGACAGUGUCUGGUGGGUAGUUUGACUGGGGCGGUCUCCUCCUAAAGAGUAACGGAGGAGCACGAAGGUUGGCUAAUCCUGGUCGGACAUCAGGAGGUUAGUGCAAUGGCAUAAGCCAGCUUGACUGCGAGCGUGACGGCGCGAGCAGGUGCGAAAGCAGGUCAUAGUGAUCCGGUGGUUCUGAAUGGAAGGGCCAUCGCUCAACGGAUAAAAGGUACUCCGGGGAUAACAGGCUGAUACCGCCCAAGAGUUCAUAUCGACGGCGGUGUUUGGCACCUCGAUGUCGGCUCAUCACAUCCUGGGGCUGAAGUAGGUCCCAAGGGUAUGGCUGUUCGCCAUUUAAAGUGGUACGCGAGCUGGGUUUAGAACGUCGUGAGACAGUUCGGUCCCUAUCUGCCGUGGGCGCUGGAGAACUGAGGGGGGCUGCUCCUAGUACGAGAGGACCGGAGUGGACGCAUCACUGGUGUUCGGGUUGUCAUGCCAAUGGCACUGCCCGGUAGCUAAAUGCGGAAGAGAUAAGUGCUGAAAGCAUCUAAGCACGAAACUUGCCCCGAGAUGAGUUCUCCCUGACUCCUUGAGAGUCCUGAAGGAACGUUGAAGACGACGACGUUGAUAGGCCGGGUGUGUAAGCGCAGCGAUGCGUUGAGCUAACCGGUACUAAUGAACCGUGAGGCUUAACCUU
rnacentral:rRNA from 1 species